GGCGAGUGGCGACGGGUGAGUAAUACAUCGGAACGUGCCCAAUCGUGGGGGAUAACGCAGCGAAAGCUGUGCUAAUACCGCAUACGAUCUACGGAUGAAAGCAGGGGAUCGCAAGACCUUGCGCGAAUGGAGCGGCCGAUGGCAGAUUAGGUAGUUGGUGAGGUAAAGGCUCACCAAGCCUUCGAUCUGUAGCUGGUCUGAGAGGACGACCAGCCACACUGGGACUGAGACACGGCCCAGACUCCUACGGGAGGCAGCAGUGGGGAAUUUUGGACAAUGGGCGAAAGCCUGAUCCAGCCAUGCCGCGUGCAGGAUGAAGGCCUUCGGGUUGUAAACUGCUUUUGUACGGAACGAAACGGCCUUUUCUAAUAAAGAGGGCUAAUGACGGUACCGUAAGAAUAAGCACCGGCUAACUACGUGCCAGCAGCCGCGGUAAUACGUAGGGUGCAAGCGUUAAUCGGAAUUACUGGGCGUAAAGCGUGCGCAGGCGGUUAUGUAAGACAGUUGUGAAAUCCCCGGGCUCAACCUGGGAACUGCAUCUGUGACUGCAUAGCUAGAGUACGGUAGAGGGGGAUGGAAUUCCGCGUGUAGCAGUGAAAUGCGUAGAUAUGCGGAGGAACACCGAUGGCGAAGGCAAUCCCCUGGACCUGUACUGACGCUCAUGC
rnacentral:rRNA from 1 species